rnacentral:misc_RNA from 1 species
UCUCCGUUGGUGAACCAGCGGAGGGAUCAUUACAGAGUUGCAAGACUCCCAAACCAUUGUGAACGUUACCUAUCCCGUUGCUUCGGCGGGCGGCCCGGGCCCCGCGCCCGGCGCCCCCCGGCCCCCCGUGGGCGCCCGCCGGAGGUAAACCAAACCCUUGGAUUGCAUGGCCUCUCUGAGUCUUCUGUACUGAAUAAGUCAAAACUUUCAACAACGGAUCUCUUGGUUCUG